UACGGAGGUGGCAAGCGUUACUCGGAAUUAUUGGGUGUAAAGGGCAAGUAGGCGGUCUAAUAAGUGGGUGGUGAAAUACUCCGGCUCAAUCGGAGAACUGCCAUCCAAACUGUUAGACUUGAGUAUACCAGAGGAAAAGGGAAUUCUAGGUGUAAGGGUGAAAUCUGUAGAUAUCUAGAAGAACACCAGCGGCGAAGGCGCUUUUCUGGGGUAUUACUGACGCUAAAUUGCGAAAGCUAGGGGAGCAAACAGA
rnacentral:rRNA from 1 species